rnacentral:tRNA from 1 species
AAAAUUAUAGUCAAAAAUGAUAUUUGAGUUGCAUUCAAAAGGUGCUUUUUAAGCUAAUUUUA